GGGCCGAAAUUAUCUCCGUAAUGCGCUUAGAAAAGCAAACAACCUUCACAAGUUUCCACUCGCGGGAGGAGCAAAUCGCAAACCUUGUGCAGAGCCGGAGGAGUUGGGGUUGCGGCCCCGUGGUUUGGCUCUCGGGCUGGUGCUCUGUGUCUGCGGACAAUUCCCAUUGACUCAGAGUUGGAGCCUGUGAUCACUGACAUGCUGUAGAGGAGCUCCAGUCUUAGCAAAGACCUUGGCAUAUUGGAGUGUGUUAGAUUUCCUUCCACAGAAGGGGAAACAAAAAAUAUUUUUCUUGUCUUUGACCAGAUGAAAGGUUGUGAAACCUUUUCUACUCUGUGUAAUAAAGAGAGCUGUUUACAAUUCUGA